rnacentral:rRNA from 1 species
AUUAACGCUGGCGGCGUGCCUAAUACAUGCAAGUCGCGCGAACGGACGAGAAGCUUGCUUCUCUGAUGUUAGCGGCGGACGGGUGAGUAACACGUGGAUAACCUACCUAUAAGACUGGGAUAACUUCGGGAAACCGGAGCUAAUACCGGAUAAUAUUUUGAACCGCAUGGUUCAAAAGUGAAAGACGGUCUUGCUGUCACUUAUAGAUGGAUCCGCGCUGCAUUAGCUAGUUGGUAAGGUAACGGCUUACCAAGGCAACGAUGCAUAGCCGACCUGAGAGGGUGAUCGGCCACACUGGAACUGAGACACGGUCCAGACUCCUACGGGAGGCAGCAGUAGGGAAUCUUCCGCAAUGGGCGAAAGCCUGACGGAGCAACGCCGCGUGAGUGAUGAAGGUCUUCGGAUCGUAAAACUCUGUUAUUAGGGAAGAACAUAUGUGUAAGUAACUGUGCACAUCUUGACGGUACCUAAUCAGAAAGCCACGGCUAACUACGUG